UACGUAGGGUGCGAGCGUUGUCCGGAAUUAUUGGGCGUAAAGGGCUCGUAGGCGGUUUGUCGCGUCGGGAGUGAAAACUCAGGGCUUAACCCUGAGCCUGCUUCCGAUACGGGCAGACUAGAGUGCGGUAGGGGAGAUCGGAAUUCCUGGUGUAGCGGUGAAAUGCGCAGAUAUCAGGAGGAACACCGGUGGCGAAGGCGGAUCUCUGGGCCGUAACUGACGCUGAGGAGCGAAAGCAUGGGGAGCGAACAGG
rnacentral:rRNA from 1 species